AGAUGGGGUAGAGGCGCAAACACCAUCAGUACCUUUUUUGAGCGAAGGCCCGCUUUGAAGAAAAGGGAAAGGGGUUUUUGCCGAAGCAAAAAGCAGGGCCUGCUGCUUUUUAGCUGGGCUGGCAUUGAAGAAGUGUCGGACUGUCACAGGGAACUGUGGAGAACUACUAUGGAU
rnacentral:ncRNA from 2 species